UUCAAAGAGACUGGGAGGAAGAGGGAGAGCCUUAUGCAUUUCUUGAAGAAGAGUUCCUCAGGAAAAGAGGAAAGAAGUGAUUCGAAGAAGUGAGCAAUCUGUCACUAAUACACUGAGUAAAAUUACUUGUCUUGUUGGAAUUCCUGCUGACAGUCAGUCACUCACAGCGCUGACCUAAACAUCUACCUGCUGACAAACAAAUUGCGGUGUCAAACUCUGAAAAGGCACACAAGAUGAAAGUAUCUGAGGCAAAUGAGAAGAGCUGCCAGAGAUAAUGUUACAUCAAUGCCUGGUCACUAUGAUGCACAAGCAAUGUGCUUGGCUGACCUCCAGAUUUCACUCCUGGGACAUCUGUAUUCGACAACAUUUAAAAGUCCUUUCCCAGCAUCAAGCCCUAAGAGUGUCGCACAUUUAGUAAGCAAGUCAAGAAACAGUAGCAAUGCUCUGAGCACUGUUUCUAAUUGUGGAUCUUGGAUUUAAGGGAUUUGCAGCAGUGUUAAUUCAUUGUAAAAAUAUUAUUUUAAAAUACUGCUUUAAAAAAACCCACUCAUAAUUCUGAGAGAGAAAAUGAGGUCGUCCCCCCACACACUUGUUCCAACAUUGUCCCGGUGGCGGGGAAUCCCCCCCCAAAUGUGGGGAGAUGACUUUGCUUCUUCCUUGGUGUGACUGAAGGAAGAACACUGCUAGAAUUUGUACAAGAUUGCCAACAUUUCUGAUGGAGGCUUUAAGAUCCUCACUAUGAAGCUGAUUGUUUCUGCAAUCAGAUUACUAAAUACCUGAGUACUGACAGGCAAACCAUCUUUUCCAUUUUGGAGGCCAUGAAUUGUGAGCAAGUCUAUUGGACCACUUUUUUUGAGGCUUGCUCAAGACUGAUCACUGUACUGGUCAUCCAUAUCUGCCUCUGUGAUGCAGCAUCAUCUUCACCAGAUCUGGGCCUAACAAGAUGAGCGUCCCUCUAAUUCUGAAUGUUUCAAAAUUGAAAACAUAUGACAGCAUGGGAAGGAG